UUGUUUCCUUGGAGUAUUCUUGGUAGUA
rnacentral:piRNA from 1 species